AUUCAUAUAAUUUAAACUAGAAUAUUGCAUUGAAGCUGCAAAUGUGACAAUAAAGUCUGUGGAUG
rnacentral:tRNA from 1 species